AUUCUCUAGUUUCUCUUCAUAUCGUAUAAAUCUUUCGCCUUUUACUAAAGAUUUCCGUGGAGAGAAACAAUUACGAGCUUUAAGUGAAUUUUUAGAGGUCUUGCUAUUUUUUAUGCAAGACC
ensembl:snRNA U5 U5 spliceosomal RNA